AGGAUCAUUAAUGAAAUUAUAAUCCGGCGAGGGAAAGGCGGAGAGUUGUAGCUGGCCCUAGGGCAUGUGCACGCUCUCUUCCGGACUUUCGCCGUAUGGGCGCGGGGCGACCCGCGUCUUCAUAUACCUCUUCGUGUAGAAAGUCUUUGAAUGUUAUUACCAUCAUCGAGUCGCGACUUCUAGGAGACGCGAUUCUUUGAGACAAAAGUUAUUACAACUUUCAGCAACGGAUCUCUUGGCUCUCGCAUCGAUGAAGAACGCAGCGAAUCGCGAUAUGUAAUGUGAAUUGCAGAUCUACAGUGAAUCAUCGAAUCUUUGAACGCACCUUGCGCUCCUCGGUGUUCCGAGGAGCAUGCCUGUUUGAGUGUCAGUAAAUUCUCAACCCCUCUCGAUUUGCUUCGACAGGGUGCUUGGAUGUUGGGGGCUGCCGGAGACACUGGAUUCGUCCAGGACUCGGGCUCCUCUUAAAUGAAUCGGCUUGCGGUCGACUUUCGACUUUGCAUGACAAGGCCUUUGGCGUGAUAAUGAUCGCCGUUCGCCGAAGUGCAAGACAGAACGGUCCCGUGCCUCUAAUGCGUCGACGCCUCUCGGGGCCGUCUUCCUCAUUGACGUUUGACCUCAAAUCAGGUAGGACUACCCGCUGAACUUAAGCAUAUCAAUAA
rnacentral:rRNA from 1 species